rnacentral:rRNA from 1 species
UACGGAGGGUGCAAGCGUUAUCCGGAUUCACUGGGUUUAAAGGGUGCGUAGGUGGGUUGGUAAGUCAGUGGUGAAAUCUCCGGGCUUAACCUGGAAACUGCCAUUGAUACUAUCAAUCUUGAAUACCUUUGGAGGUGAGCGGAAUAUGUCAUGUAGCGGUGAAAUGCUUAGAUAUGACAUAGAACACCAAUUGCGAAGGCAGCUCACUACACGGUCAUUGACACUGAGGCACGAAAGCGUUGGGGAUCAAACAGG